rnacentral:rRNA from 1 species
CAUGCAAGUCGACGCACCGCAGGUGAGUGGCAGACGGGUGAGUAACGCGUGGGAACCUACCCUUUACUACGGAAUAACUGAGGGAAACUUCAGCUAAUACCGUAUACGCCCUACGGGGGAAAGAUUUAUCGGUAAAGGAUGGGCCCGCGUUGGAUUAGCUAGUUGGUGGGGUAAUGGCCUACCAAGGCGACGAUCCAUAGCUGGUCUGAGAGGAUGAUCAGCCACACUGGGACUGAGACACGGCCCAGACUCCUACGGGAGGCAGCAGUGGGGAAUAUUGGACAAUGGGCGCAAGCCUGAUCCAGCCAUGCCGCGUGAGUGAUGAAGGCCCUAGGGUUGUAAAGCUCUUUCACCGGUGAAGAUAAUGACGGUAACCGGAGAAGAAGCCCCGGCUAACUUCGUGCCAGCAGCCGCGGUAAUACGAAGGGGGCUAGCGUUGUUCGGAAUUACUGGGCGUAAAGCGCACGUAGGCGGAUUGUUAAGUGAGGGGUGAAAUCCCAGGGCUCAACCCUGGAACUGCCUCUCAUACUGGCAAUCUCGAGUUCGAGAGAGGUGAGUGGAAUUCCGAGUGUAGAGGUGAAAUUCGUAGAUAUUCGGAGGAACACCAGUGGCGAAGGCGGCUCACUGGCUCGAUACUGACGCUGA